rnacentral:rRNA from 1 species
UUCGGGUCGCCGGCGAGUGGCAAACGGGUGAGUAACGCGUGGAUACCUGUCCUGUGGUGGGGAAUAACGUUUAGAAAUGAACGCUAAUACCGCAUAAGCCCUGCGGGGGAAAGAUUUAUCGCCAUAGGAGGGGUCCGCGUCGGAUUAGCUAGUUGGUGGGGUAACGGCCUACCAAGGCGACGAUCCGUAGCUGGUCUGAGAGGAUGAUCAGCCACACUGGGACUGAGACACGGCCCAGACUCCUACGGGAGGCAGCGGUGGGGAAUAUUGCGCAAUGGAGGAAACUCUGACGCAGCGACGCCGCGUGGGUGAAGAAGGCCUUAGGGUUGUAAAGCCCUUUCAGUGGGAAAGAUGAUGACGGUACCCACAGAAGAAGCCCCGGCUAACUCCGUGCCAGCAGCCGCGGUAAUACGGAGGGGGCCAGCGUUGUUCGGAAUUACUGGGCGUAAAGGGCGCGUAGGCGGUUGAUCAAG